CACCCUUAAACCUACAGACCUUUACCAGUAAGAAAUUAAACAAAAAAAUAUCAGAAGCUAAAACGAUUUCAACUAAAGGAAAUGUUAUGACCACUCCAACCUAUGGAUGAAAAUGUCAAUAGAAUACAUGGAUGGUUGUCUCAAGGUUCUCGAAAAUGAAAAUUUAGAGUACCAAAUUUCUUAGGGGAAUGGGAGAUUCCCACAUGAGAGAAAUUUUUCCAAGUGAC
rnacentral:lncRNA from 1 species